UCUGGAUUAGUGCGUUUUUUGACCCAUAUGGAUGAAGAAGAUCAAAGUGACAAAAAGGAGACUUCAGAACCUGAAUUUUCAAUAACAGAAAACUAUUCUGGUCAGAAAACUUGUGUGUUUCCUACUGCCGAUUCGGCUGUCAGCCUUUCCAGUUCCAGUGAUCAGAAUACUACUUCUCCUGGUAUGAAUAGCAAUGAUGAAUUAUGUGAGAGUGUUUCAGUACACCCGUUCCAGAUGACUGGAUUGACUGAUAUUGCAGACAUUAUUGAUGACCUUAUAACUAAAGACAGAGUUUCCAGUGAAGAACUUGGCUUAACAGAACAAGCUAUGGGCACCUCCAGAUUGCUGCUCUCUGAACACUAUAGUCGUCGAAUCUCACAGGCGUACGGUCUGAUGAAUGAACUGUUAUCUGAGUCAGUACAGCUACCAGCUCUACCACAGAAACCAUUGCCUAACAAAUCCAGCUCUACUCAGUCUUCCAGAUGUCAACACUGCCCUUCUCCAAGAGGAGAGAAUCAACACGGUCACAGUUUUCUAAUAAAUCGACCUGGAAAAGUCAAAUAUAUGUCCAAACCGAGUUACAUCCAU
rnacentral:sRNA from 1 species